ensembl:lncRNA
CCCCUUUAAAACUGUUUCUGAGUGGUUCUUUUAAAUGAUUAAAUGUAUUUUUUUGUUUAGUUUUUUUGUUUGUUUGUUUGUUUGUUUGUUUGUUUUUUCUCUUGCUAUAUCUUUCGUUGGCGUGUGUAAGGAUGAUGUCAUAAAGCACUGAUCUGUCCAGAUAGACUCAGCCGCUGGUGUCAGGAACUUGUGGUGUUUAUCUAUUGCUAUGACUCAAGCCACCAGAUCCGGUCUGUAUCCAAGUCAGAGGGUCACUGCAAUCACCCAGAUCCAGUAUGUAUCCAGCCCAGAUGGUGGAUCAGCACCUAAAAAGGACCUCUACAGCCCUGAAAGACAGCGGAGACUAGGACAACUAGAUGAGCCCCAGAUCCCCUGUAAAGGCCUUAUCUCAGACGACCACCGGGACAAGACCACAGGAAACGGAUGAUUCUUCUGCACAAUCUGACUUUGCUGCAGCCUGGAAUUGAACUGCUGAUUUCGUCUGGCCAGAGGAGAACUGGCCCCCCAACUGAGCCUGGUUUCUCCCAAGGUUUUUUCUCCAUUCUGUCACCGAUGGAGUUUUGAUUCCUUGCCGCUGUCGCCUCUGGCUUGUUUAGUUGGGGACACUUCAUUUACAGCGAUAUC